rnacentral:lncRNA from 1 species
CGUCCGUUCCCGAUCUAGCUCACACACACAUUUGCAUUGGCAGGUAGGGAGUCUGGAAGGGGGCAGGGAAGAAGCAAGGAGUUGCGGUACCUUUCUUGAACUUUCUGAGCUUGUUUAGAUGUGGAACUCAGCGCUCUAAGCUGCCAGACCUCGUCUUCUCCAAACCCGAAGCUUGGUGGGGAUAGCCCGGCGCACGACCCUGCUCUCAGCCAGCCCGCGCGGGAAUCUCACCGCAGCAGGCAACACGCAAAAAGGGAAGAGCCUUGGAGAGCCCGCGGGACCUGCAAGUGGACGAGCAAUCUGCCUUCCUCUGGAAGCCGAGGAUGGUAAGGAGAGCCCACGAUUGAAAUAAAGGGUCAGAGGGGGGGCGUGAAAAACCUCUGCACUAAGCCCAAGCAAAAACUGAAGUCACGGUCAAGUGUUCCCCAUAAGAGGGCGGGGCAGCUGGCUAGGAGCAGUUGGGGGCGGAGAAGGGAGGGUCCAGUUGGGGCUGGGAGGGGCCCAAGGCGGAGGCCUCAGGGGAAAACUUUAUGGCUCUUUCAGCCACCACCACCUCCCCUCCCAGAGUGGAGAAACAGCUCUGUACCUCCAUCAAGUCCCAGCUGCAGAGUGGGGGGCCGCGGGCAGUGCAGCGGGCGGGGGCGGCCACCCGGAUCGCUCACUAUUGGGCUACCACGGCAGCUCGCGAGUCAGCUGGGGUUCCCCGGAGCGCCCUGAACCCGGGGAGUACCAACCCCCAGCGAAAAGAAAAGUGAAAGAAAAUAGGCGAUGGCUUGGAGCCCACCCACCACUUUCACGGGCUGGACACGGUGCGGGAAGCUUCCCCAAUGAAGCCUGGAGACCCGAGCGCCGAGCACGUCCAAGUCGCCCAGAGGAAAGGGAAAAAUGUGUUGGAUCUCGAUGGGCGGCUACUCCAUCCGGACCAGUCCCUUGGCUCCUCGCGCCAGCUGUAAGAAACAAGGCUCUGAAGUCUUAAUAGAGAAAACAUUGGAAAAAGUCACCUGGGUAACUACUUUGUCCAAGUUGCAGCAGGCUGUUUGGUAAGAUAUGGAAAAUUACACCAAUGAACAAGUAAAUUCCACUGUACAAGUUAAAAGCAAAGACCAAGAUUGAUGAAAGCAUUUAAAUCUGCCUUAAGAUGACUAUUAAAAUGACAAUGCAGAAAGAAGUAAAAAUUAACUCACAGAAGUGACCAUAAUAUUUCUUCGAAUUUAAAGAAUUAACAAUAAAAUUAUAGUAUAAUAAAAUUUUAAUAUUUGAUAUUUCAUUCCAAAUACAAUGUUUGGCAAUUGGGCAGUUGUCUUUAAAAUAAAUUACUAAUAAAAGCUUUUGAGACUACGUGGAAGAAGUUAAAAGUUAGCUCAUCUGACUUAGUGUUCAAAGUCCAUAACUAUGAUCUUAUUUAUGGUUCUUCUAACAACAAAACAGAGGCCAACAACAAGUUGAUCUUCUAGGCUUUGAAAAACAUGGCCCAGGAUGCCACAAGUUGCCAUAUUGGUUAAAGUGUAAGUGAGCAGCCUUUUCUCAAGGUUGCUCCCCACCUCUGAUUUUUUGGUGGUCCUGACAAUAGAGGAAUAAAUACUCUUUGUCUUGAAGAUUGCUUAAGUUUUCAAGUGUUGCUUUUUCAUAGUUGUAACAGUACGAGUUAAUACUUCUGUAGUUGCUACAGUGGGUCCGCAGGUGCUUGCUACGUAUACAUAUUAUUAACUCAAUAAACCCUCAGCAAUGUUAUGACAUAUGAACUGUUAUUAUCUCCAUUUUACACAGGGAGAAACCAGGUCCAGAGAAACUACACGACGUGUCUCAGGUCACAUGCAAUUGAGUGGCCCAGCAAGGAUUUGAACGCAGGUGGUCUGACUUGAGCACACAUCAUCUACCCUCUGCUGCCACUAAAUUGACAACCACCCACCACCACUUCUAAAACAAAAAGUCCAUGAGGAAAAAAGCCAUUGCCUCUCAGCCUGUAUCUCUCAGUCUGAUUUUGUUUGCCCCAGAGUAAUUUUAGCCACCACCAGGAAGGAAACUCAUCGGUUCCUUUGAAUUUAUGUUUCCUGACCUCAUUGUGUUUCCAUAAUAAAACUGCAGUGGGUGUUACAGCCUCACUAUAAACAUAGAUUAUUUGAAUAAAGUGACUGACAAAAGGCUGGCAGAGUUAAAAACAGCAGAGCUAGUAGCUGACAGAAUCUGGCUGGUUCCUAUUCUAUUAGAGAUGGAUGAUUCUGUUUGAACUGAAGUGUAAGUGACCUCACGGGAAACCAGGUGAAAGGACACCUAGUUUCAAGCUGGAAAUAAAAACAAUUAAAUAACAAAUAUUUCCUUUUUAUUUUUAAGUUAAAUUCAUAGGGGUGACACUGGCUAAUAAAAUUACAUAGUUUCCAAAUGUACAAUUUUAUAAUAGGAGGUUUGACAAACAAUCCCGAACUCAUCCUAGAAAAAGUGCUACAUACCUCAUUGCUGAAUAUCACUACAGUCAACUUCAAAGUACUCCCCUUGGGAAGUUAGGCACCGACACGAGCGCCUAGUCCACCCUUCGAAGCAAUUUUAGAACUCUUUCUGGAAUGGCCAUCAGAACUAUUGUAUUACCCUUGAUGUCCUGAAUGUCGUCAAAAUGUCUUUCUUUCAAUAUUUCCUCUAUCUUCAGGUAAAAAAAGAAGUCAUUGGGGACCAGAUCAGGUGAGUAGGGAGGGUUUUCCCAUACAGUUAUUUGUUUACCGGCUAAAAACUCCCUCACAGACAGUGCCGUGUGAGCUGGUGCAUUGUCGUGAUGCAAGAGCCAUGAAUUGUGGUGAAAAGUCCAGGUCAUCUAACUUUUUCACGCAGCGUUUUUAGCACUUACAAAUAGUAAACUUGGUUAACUGUUUGUCCAGUUGGUACAAAUCCAUAAUGAAUAAUCCCUCUGAUAUCAAAAAAGGUUAGCAACAUCGUUGCAACAAGUUUGCAAACUUAAUUGUCAGACCUUGUACAUCAUCUGUAUUGCAUUGUGUGUUCGUAACCCAAAGUCAAAUCUCCUUCCAUCACCUAUUUGUUAAUAUAUUUAAAAGUAUAUGGAAUCUUAAAUGUUUUUGUGACAUAGUAGGGGGAGAAAGGGUUAAAUAAAACCAAGAGAUGAUGUAAUGUACUAACAAUACUAUUCUGAACAGUCUUUUAUGGCUGAACUUACCGAUCAAAAUCUAGUUCUAAU